CCUACUGGAGGCAGCAGUGGGGGAUAUUGCACAAUGGGGGGAACCCUGAUGCAGCGACGCCGCGUGGGUGAAGGAGUAUUUCGGUAUGUAAAGCCCUAUCGGCAGGGAAGAAUUUAGACGGUACCCGACUAAGAAGCCCCGGCUAACUACGUGCCAGCAGCCGCGGUAAUACGUAGGGGGCAAGCGUUAUCCGGAUUCACUGGGUGUAAAGGGAGCGUAGACGGCCAGGCAAGCCUGGAGUGAAAGCCCGGGGCCCAACCCCGGGACUGCUCUGGAAACUGUAUGGCUGGAGUGCAGGAGAGGUAAGUGGAAUUCCUAGUGUAGCGGUGAAAUGCGUAGAUAUUAGGAGGAACACCAGUGGCGAAGGCGGCUUACUGGACUGUAACUGACGUUGAGGCUCGAAAGCGUGGGGAGCAAACAGGAUUAGAUACCCGGGUAGUC
rnacentral:rRNA from 1 species